rnacentral:rRNA from 1 species
GACGAACGCUGGCGGCGUGCUUAACACAUGCAAGUCGAACGGAAAGGCCCUGCUUUUGUGGGGUGCUCGAGUGGCGAACGGGUGAGUAACACGUGAGUAACCUGCCCUUGACUUUGGGAUAACUUCAGGAAACUGGGGCUAAUACCGGAUAGGAGCUCCUGCUGCAUGGUGGGGGUUGGAAAGUUUCGGCGGUUGGGGAUGGACUCGCGGCUUAUCAGCUUGUUGGUGGGGUAGUGGCUUACCAAGGCUUUGACGGGUAGCCGGCCUGAGAGGGUGACCGGCCACAUUGGGACUGAGAUACGGCCCAGACUCCUACGGGAGGCAGCAGUGGGGAAUAUUGCACAAUGGGCGGAAGCCUGAUGCAGCAACGCCGCGGGCGGGAUGACGGGCUUCGGGUUGUAAACCGCUUUCGCCUGGGACGAAGCGUGAGUGACGGUAAUGGGUAAAGAAGCACCGGCUAACUACGUGC